GAUGAACGCUGGCGGCGUGCCUAACACAUGCAAGUCGAGCGAACGGACGAGAAGCUUGCUUCUCUGAUGUUAGCGGCGGACGGGUGAGUAACACGUGGAUAACCUACCUAUAAGACUGGGAUCACUUCGGGAAACCGGAGCUAAUACCGGAUAAUAUUUUGAACCGCAUGGUUCAAAAGUGAAAGACGGUCUUGCUGUCACUUAUCGAUGGAUCCGCGCUGCAUUAGCUAGUUGGUAAGGUAACGGCUUACCAAGGCUAGGAUGCGUAGCCGACCUGCGAGGGUGAUCGGCCACAUUGGAACUGAGACACGGUCCAGACUCCUACGGGAGGCAGCAGUAGGGAAUCUUACGCAAUGGGCGAAAGCCUGACGCAGCAACGCCGCGUGAGUGAUGAAGGUCUUCGGUUCGUAAAGCUCUGUUAUGAGGGAAGAACAGAUGUGUAAGUAAAUGUAGAGAUAGUGACGGUACCGGAUCAAGAAGCACCGGCUAACUACGUG
rnacentral:rRNA from 1 species